CCGAAUGUUACCAAACAAACCACUGUGAACCGUCCCUUUAGCUGCUUCGGCGGGCGAUCCCAGGGCGGGAUCCCGGGCUCCUUACGGGGUGCUCGCCGGCGGCCACUUUCUAGCUCUGUUUCUAGCGAGCUUCUGAGUGUAAACCAAAAAUAAUCA
rnacentral:misc_RNA from 1 species